CCCGGCUCAUCUUGGAAGAGUAUGUGCCAGAAAGACCACGACCAAGCAGCCUUGAGAUCUUAGGCAGCGUCUCCCUGAGGUCCCUCUCUAUCUCCCCACACAUCCACCAACCACUGGAACACAUCUCCAAAGUUCUGCUGGACCAGCUCAGCUUCCCCUCAGAAGAAGUGCCGCCACCUGCCAGAUGAAAGAGCCUUUUGAGAGGCAGCUGACAUCGUGAUUGGACUGUACUUUGGUCUGUUCCAAUCCAGCUUCAGCUCCAGAGACGGCAGGCGGGACGAGUCAACGGAGGCCGGGUGGACGAAGGCAUGCAGCUGAGUACAAUCCAGAAAACAACAGAGGAGGAGUGCAGCAGCCCAGAGCCAGAACAACCAGAGUAGCAUCGUAUGUCUCUUAGAAAACAUCAUAGUAUAGCCUUUGGUAUGAAAAAACGCCAUCAUAUACAUCGUAUAUUGUACAAAUAACAAGUCAAAGGAAAGAGACUGACUGAUUUACUGAUUAUCAGUAUAUUAUUUUUUACUGAUUUACGGUAAUAAAUACAUUUAAAAAUGGUGCUA